AGUAUUGUCACCAUCCACUUUACCCCAACAAACAAACCCACUCUCCCAAUCCUGCAAGCCUAUCAUUUCUUCUUACCUAUCAUCUCUCACCUUUUUAUCGCAUGCCUAGUCUCCCUGUAUCACCAUUACUAUUGCCACCAAGUCAUUGUAACUCUUAGAGGCCUUAGAUCUUGGUUCUCACUAAAACACUAAUGUUUUUCGUUGCAUUCUCACCAAAAAACUCAGACACUCGGUGGGAAGCAUUGGUUGUUGGCCAAAACAGAGGAGAGAAAAAAUCCUCAAGGUACUGUUAUUACUGCCUUAGGACACGUUGUGCUGCAGCUGCAUCGUUUCGGUGUUCCAGAUGCAGCGAGCCAGUAAUUGCAAUGCAGCGGUAUGGUGUAGUUGAUCAUAAAGUUCCAAGUCAAUGAUACUUGUAUAGGAAGUAGAGAAAAGAAAAAGUCAUAUCAACUUAGACUACUUUAAAAAAAAGAGCCUGUUUAUGGCAAACAAGUUUAUUAGAGAAAUUACAAGCUUAGUUCAAAAUAUUUUCCUUCCAAAGGGUGGGGAUUGAGGGGAGGGGGGCUUCUCAAUUGUUUAGCAAUCUAACACUUGUCUCGGAUAGCACCUAGUUUUAGUUCGUGUGGACAAGUCAGACUUGGCUCUGGUUUGCACAAGAUGUUUGGCUAGACUCUCCUAAACGACAUCAUUCAUUUCAAUUUUUUUCUAAUGAUGUGAAAGCUAAGCACAA